rnacentral:rRNA from 1 species
CAGUCGCCGCGGUAAUACGUAGGGUGCAAGCGUUAAUCGGAAUUACUGGGCGUAAAGCGUGCGCAGGCGGUUCUAUAAGACAGAUGUGAAAUCCCCGGGCUCAACCUGGGAACUGCAUUUGUGACUGUAGAGCUGGAGUACGGCAGAGGGGGACGGAAUUCCGCGUGUAGCAGUGAAAUGCGUAGAUAUGCGGAGGAACACCGAUGGCGAAGGCAAUCCCCUGGGCCUGUACUGACGCUCAUGCACGAAAGCGUGGGGAGCGAACAGGAUUAGAUACCCGAGUAGUCCCUGUCUCUUUACA